rnacentral:lncRNA from 1 species
CUUUUGAGUAGUCUGUUUCUUUCUGCGUCACGGUUUGUUGUUUUGUAUAUUCAGUUCUUUUGUGUAUUGCAAAAGUUUCACGGAUUUAAUCAAAUGUGGAACUACAACCACGCUGCACUUUGGUCCGAUCCUUUCGACAGCCGUGACACAGGCUCUGGACCUCGUAGGAAUCAUGGGAAUUGUGCGCCCUGCCCGCGGCGCACCGGUAGGAGGCGUGUGGUAAUGAUCUACUCCUCGCUUGCCAGCAUCGCCCCUCACAAUUAAUUCCCGCUUCGCCUCGCACCUCGCUCGACGCUCUCGAAAGAGGGGAAAGGGAGGCCCUCUCAUUAGAGAACUGUGACAUGCGGCAGUGAGCGUGAGCAGCAA